rnacentral:rRNA from 1 species
UACAGAGGGGGCAAGCGUUGUUCGGAAUUACUGGGCGUAAAGAGCUCGUAGGCGGCUUGUCGCGUCGAAUGUGAAAUCCCGAGGCUCAACUUCGGGCUUGCAUUCGAUACGGGCAGGCUAGAGUUCGGUAGGGGAGACUGGAAUUCCUGGUGUAGCGGUGAAAUGCGCAGAUAUCAGGAGGAACACCGGUGGCGAAGGCGGGUAGCUGGGCCGACACUGACGCUGAUGCGCGAAAGCCAGGGGAGCGAACGGG